UACAUGGGGUGCAAACGUUGCUCGGAAUUACUGGGCGUAAAGCGCACGUAGGCGGCCUUGUAAGUUAGAGGUGAAAGCCCAGGGCUCAACCCUGGAAUUGCCUUUAAGACUGCAUCGCUUGAACACGGGAGAGGUGAGUGGAAUUCCGAGUGUAGAGGUGAAAUUCGUAGAUAUUCGGAAGAACACCAGUGGCGAAGGCGGCUCACUGGACCGUUGUUGACGCUGAGGUGCGAAAGCGUGGGGAGCAAACAGG
rnacentral:rRNA from 1 species